rnacentral:tRNA from 1 species
GGCUUCAUAGCUCAGUUGGUUAGAGCGUCGCACCGGUAUCGUGAGGGCAGGGGUUCAAACCCACUUGAAGUCC